rnacentral:rRNA from 1 species
UACGGAGGGUGCAAGCGUUAUCCGGAUUCACUGGGUUUAAAGGGUGCGUAGGUGGGUCUGUAAGUCCGUGGUGAAAUCUCCGAGCUUAACUUGGAAACUGCCAUGGAUACUAUAGGUCUUGAAUACUGUGGAGGUCAGCGGAAUAUGUCACGUAGCGGUGAAAUGCUUAGAUAUGACAUAGAACACCAAUUGCGAAGGCAGCUGACUACGGGAGCAUUGACACUGAGGCACGAAAGCGUGGGGAUCAAACAGG